ACUGUGGCCGUGAUCUCACUCUCUUUUGCAGUUGCUGCAAGUUACCACCUGACAUUCGCACUAUUACAAAUGUCACUAUUUUUAAAUCCAAAUUUAAAACUUCUUUAUAUAGAAUGGCUUUUAAUGCACAGUAGCGUUGCAGCAUUAUCUCUUUAUUUCUCCUGUCUUUAUGCAACAGUUUCAGAUUUUACUGUAUUCUAUGUUUUAUUCAUUUUAUUGUAUGGUAUGUUGUUUUAUUCUUGGUCCUUCAAGCACUUUGGAUACCUGUUGGUUGCUGUGAAGCACUUUAUGAAUACAUGUUGAUUGAUGUUGAGGCUCAAUGAGC